AAUAUUGCACAAUGGGCGCAAGCCAGAUGCAGCGACGCCGCGUGGGGGAUGAAGGCUCGCGUGUUGUAUACUCCUUUCGCUAUCGAUGAAGCCACUUUGUGCGGACGGUAGGGAGAUAAGAAGCACCGGCUAACUACGUGCCAGCACCCGCGGUAAUACGUAGGGUGCAAGCGUUGUCCGGAAUUACUGGGCGUAAAGAGCUCGUAGGUGGUUUGUCGCGUCGUCUGUGAAAUCCCGGGGCUUAACUUCGGGCGUGCAGGCGAUACGGGCAUAACUUGAGUGCUGUAGGGGAGACUGGAAUUCCUGGUGUAGCGGUGAAAUGCGCAGAUAUCAGGAGGAACACCGAUGGCGAAGGCAGGUCUCUGGGCAGUUACUGACGCUGAGGAGCGAAAGCAUGGGUAGCGAACA
rnacentral:rRNA from 1 species